UGGGAACCUUCCCUAUGGUUCGGAAUAGCUCAGGGAAACUUGGGGUAAUACCGAAUAAGCCCUUCGGGGAAAGAUUUAUCGCCAUUGGAUGGGCCCGCGUCGGAUUAGCUAGUUGGUGGGGUAACGGCCCACCAAGGCGACGAUCCGUAGCUGGUCUGAGAGGAUGAUCAGCCACACUGGGACUGAAACACGGCCCAGACUCCUACGGGAGGCAG
rnacentral:rRNA from 1 species